rnacentral:rRNA from 1 species
UAAGGAAUAUUGGUCAAUGGAGGAAACUCUGAACCAGCCAUGCCGCGUGUGUGAUGAAGGCCCUUUGGGUUGUAAAGCACUUUUAUAUAGGAAGAAUGACAGGGAUUUAUCCUUGGAGAGACGGUACUAUAGGAAUAAGCACCGGCUAACUCCGUGCCAGCAGCCGCGGUAAUACGGAGGGUGCAAGCGUUAUCCGGAAUCACUGGGUUUAAAGGGUACGUAGGCGGUCAAUUAAGUCAGACGUCAAAGGCUGUGGCUAAACCACGGUACGCGUUUGAAACUGGUUGACUUGAAUAUGUUCGAGGUGCAUGGAAUGCAUCAUGUAGCGGUGAAAUGCUUAGAUAUGAUGU